AAGCUACAUCGGUAUCCGUGCGCUUGCGGAUUUUUCUGUUUGCGUUUAAAAUACCCAACAAGCUUUCUGAGCUUGUCGACGGUCCUUAAUGCUCACAUUUAACCAUCAAUUAAUCAUGGAAAAGGAUCCAAAUGCAACCAACACCCAGACUUAGGAUUUUAUCUGACAGAAUUCCACGAGUUUUGGUGUUUGUCUAUUUCUGCAGG
rnacentral:lncRNA from 1 species